UGCAAUGUGUUGCUUAGUUUUUGAGGGC
rnacentral:piRNA from 1 species